rnacentral:rRNA from 1 species
ACGAUGCUAGCUUGCUAGCAGGCGUCGAGUGGCGGACGGGUGAGUAAUGCAUAGGAAUCUACCUAGUAGUGGGGGACAACCUGGUGAAAACCAGGCUAAUACCGCAUAAUCCCUACGGGGCAAAGCAGGGGACCUUCGGGCCUUGCGCUAAUAGAUGAGCCUAUGUCGGAUUAGCUAGUUGGUGGGGUAAAGGCCUACCAAGGCGACGAUCUCUAGCUGGUCUGAGAGGAUGAUCAGCCACACUGGGACUGAGACACGGCCCAGACUCCUACGGGAGGCAGCAGUGGGGAAUAUUGCACAAUGGACGAAAGUCUGAUGCAGCCAUGCCGCGUGUGUGAAGAAGGCCUUCGGGUUGUAAAGCACUUUCAGCGAGGAGGAAAGGUUAGUCGUUAAUAUCGGCUAGCUGUGACGUUACUCGCAGAAGAAGCACCGGCUAAUUUAGUGCCAGCAGCCGCGGUAAUACUAAAGGUGCAAGCGUUAAUCGGAAUUACUGGGCGUAAAGCGCGCGUAGGUGGUUUGUUAAGUUGGAUGUGAAAGCCCAG